CUACCUUGACAUGUCCGGAAUCCCGAAGAGAUUUGGGAGUGCUCGCAAGAGAACCGGAACACAGGUGCUGCAUGGCUGUCGUCAGCUCGUGUCGUGAGAUGUUGGGUUAAGUCCCGGCAACCGAGCGCAACCCUUGUCAUUAGUUGCCAUCAUUUGGUUGGGCACUCUAAUGAGACUGCCGGUGACAAACCGGAGGAAGGUGGGGAUGACGUCAAGUCCUCAUGGCCCUUAUGGGUAGGGCUUCACACGUCAUACAAUGGUCGGUACAGAGGGUUGCCAACCCGCGAGGGGGAGCUAAUCCCACAAAGCCGAUCGUAGUCCGGAUCGCAGUCUGCAACUCGACUGCGUGAAGUCGGAAUCGCUAGUAAUCGUGGAUCAGCAUGUCACGGUGAAUACGUUCCCGGGUCUU
rnacentral:rRNA from 1 species